UUAUUAUUCAAGAAAGAUUUUGAACAAAAACAUUUAAUGAUCAUGUUUUGUACCAGUCCUAACCUGUUCAGGGAACUGGUCACUUUAACCUCCUGAGGAGCAGCGCGCUAAUUCUGAACGACGACGUGUUGUGCUACAUUUAUGAAACUAUUGGUUGUUGAAAGCGUCGACCCCCGAAUAUGAAGACAGGGCGUUUAAGGUGGCAGAAAGCGGAGCGGCUACAGCUGGAGUCCAGCUUCACAAUGGCGCCUUUUCAUCCAGACGUUUAAAGAUUUUGAACAGAGUGAAUCUAAAACUACGGCACUGGAGGAAUUCUGG